rnacentral:rRNA from 1 species
AGCGCAGGCGGACCGGCAAGUUGGAAGUGAAAACUAUGGGCUCAACCCAUAAAUUGCUUUCAAAACUGCUGGCCUUGAGUAGUGCAGAGGUAGGUGGAAUUCCCGGUGUAGCGGUGGAAUGCGUAGAUAUCGGGAGGAACACCAGUGGCGAAGGCGGUCUACUGGGCACCAACUGACGCUGAGGCUCGAAAGCAUGGGUAGCAAACA